CUUCACUCGCCCCCACGAGAUGUCUUAACUACAAAAGAGAGAAACCUUCGAACAAACCAAACAGCGUCCUACACGCCUCUCCCCUUAUAUACGUGCACCGUCUCUACUUCUCACGCUCGUCGCGUUCUCUCUCUCUCUCUCUCUCUCUCUUCCUCUCUUCAGUUCGUUCGGCUUUGUGUUGAUUCAUUCGGAGCUCGGAAUGGCCGCCGCCGCCGGAGCAGCACCCGCUCGCGCUUCGUUCGCUCUGAGGCAGGCGCAGGCAGAGCUUACCAUCAGCAGAUUGACAGAGGAGAGAAGUUUGCAGAAUUGAGAGAGAGAUGCACUUAAGCGUGACCUGGAGAUGUUGAGGAAGACAGGUGGGAGAGCAAUUCAAGUGGGAUUUCCUUUCCUGUAUGUUUGUGCGGUCGCUCUUGUUGCCCUUGCAGUUGGAUACAUUAUCCACCCGUAGCUGAGAUGGUUUUGGUCGCCGCCUAAUUGGGCUUUAAGUAGAUUGUGUAUCUCUAGGGUUCAGCAUUGUGUUGCCUUAUUUUUUCGUCUGCAAUCUCAUGUAUAAACCUGGAAGCUUUGGUAUUUCAGUUGGAGAUGAUGUGCUCUUAAAAUGUAUAUUCCUGGUUUGACUCUAUGGAUGGUGUAAUUGGAAAAAUCUUGAGUUCCCAAAAGACAAAAAUGCAAGAAAAGUUCCGCAAUCAUUGUUGUUA